AUACAUCAUUCAUUUUAUUUAAGAGCACAGCGCUGAAGUAAACACAUUAUAUUCAAUAUAAAGGUCGAAGUGGACACAUACACAACUUGUCUUAUCUUAUUUAUGACAAAGACAAGACAUGGUCUGGUACUUUGUCGAAAUAGCCUGCAAGCCGAUGCUGUAGCAAUGUAAGUGAAACCAGAUAACAAAUCGAUUUGUUAGGAUUAGGAAACAUCAGGGAUCGGUUUCAUACUUGAGUAGAUUGACCGCCAUGGCAUCAGGCUAAUAGGUCUGGAGACGAACAUAUCCAUAGGCCAGUCCGCCACCGGAUCGGUUAGUGGCGACAAUGACGGACCACAUGAAUAUUGUGCUGACCAUCCUCAACAAGAGCAAGCAGAUACUAGGCUUUGGUGCAAUGUCUGUUUGGUAUUUGGCCUGGACAUUCGACACCCCUUCAUCAAGGGUAUACGAGUAGUAACAUGUGUUGUCAAGCUGUUGGUUUCAGACUUACUGAUUUAUUACUUUGUAAGAUCUUGAUGAAAAAUUAAUAAAAUAACAGCAUAAAUCUCCCAUAUGCAUACCUAAACGGUCUUAUAAGUACUUCCUUUAUAAACUAAUAUAUAAGAAUGUUUAUAUCACAAAAUAGUGAUUAAAACGGUCUUAUAUUAGUUUACAGAGGGAGUACAUCUCCCUUUUAGUUUCCCAAUGCUGGAAACUUCUCCAAUAUGUAAAACAUCCAAGCAUUUGUUGGCACAUGGGCAAAUAAUUUAUUAGGAACUCUUUGGAUUAAGCUUGCCCUAAGGUAAAUUUUAAUAAACAUAUUUUGUAGCUAUACCGACUCUACUCACACCAUAAAUUUAUACAUAUAGUGGUAAUAUUGUGAUGUAAAUGUCGAGUGAUUGCUUGAUUCACACAGGAAAAUUUUCAAUUUCUACUACGCCAUAAUGACCCGUGUGCCGUGGAAGACAGCAUCCGCACAUGGUUACAAAUUGUUAUGCAUGGUUGUUGCACUGUGUUGAAUCAAAUACAUCAUUCAUUUUAUUUAAGAGCACAGCCCUGAAGUGAACACAUUUUAUUCAAUAUAAAGAUCGAAGUGGACACAUACACAACUUGUCUUAUCUUAUUUAAGAGGAAGACAAGACAUGGUCUGGUACUUUGUCGAAAUUGCCUGCAAGCCGAUGCUGUAGCAAUGUCACUGAAACCAGAUAACAAAUCGAUUUGUUGGGAUUAGGAAACAUCAGGAAUUGGUUUCAUACUUGAGUAGAUUGACCGCCAUGGCAUCAGGCUAAUAGGUCUGGAGACGAACAUAUCCAUACGCCAGUCCGCCACCGGAUCGCGCGGUUAGUGGCGACAAUGACGGACCACAUGAAUACUGUGCUGACCAUCCUCAACAACAAGCAGUGGUGCCUGGCCAAUACGCCACCGGAUCGGUUAGCGGCAACAACGAAGGACCCACGCGUGCUGAUGGAUGAGGGGGAGACCACACAGAACGAGCAGUGGCAUACCUGUAGCUUGGGUACGGGUACAAUGGAUAGGAACACUCGAUUAUACGUAAGCUCACUUCUGUUGGCCUUAGCCAGUUAACGUGGACUCCCUUUCUUUUGGCAAUACCACUAGGGCAAGAAUUAGAAACCUGGAUAUGAUUUAGUGAACAUAGAGUAUUGCAUGCCGCAUGACACCGAGUACUUCGUGU
rnacentral:lncRNA from 1 species